rnacentral:lncRNA from 1 species
AUGGUGAUUGGUGAGUCUCUCCUUCUCAGAAUAAACCUCGAAACAAAGUUUGGGGGCCCUCCUUCUAGCGCCAACUGUUGCUACCAAAUCCCACGUCGAAGGUCGAGGAUGGUCUCUGCAGCUGAGGUGGUAGAAUUAUGCAGAAGCGACGAUCUCCAGGGGCUAGCUCAAGAUCUAUAAAAAAUCCUGACUAGGGUGUUUUCUAAUGAGGAUCCUCCAAUGUUCAAGUUAAAAGAUGAAGAAUAAGGAGAAA